rnacentral:rRNA from 1 species
CUAGGAAUCUUGGGAAUGGGCGAAAGCCUGACCCAGCAACGCCGCGUGGGCGAUGAAGGCCUUCGGGUUGUAAAGCCCUUUUGCAGGGGAAGAUGAUGACGGUACCUUGCGAAUAAGCCACGGCUAACUACGUGCCAGCAGCCGCGGUAAUACGUAGGUGGCAAGCGUUGUCCGGAUUUACUGGGCGUAAAGGGCGUGCAGGCGGUCUGUUAAGUCUAGGGUGAAAGCUCCCGGCUCAACUGGGAGAGGUCCUUGGAUACUGGCGGACUUGAGGGAGGCAGAGGAAAGUGGAAUUCCCGGUGUAGUGGUGAUAUGCGUAGAUAUCGGGAGGAACACCAGUGGCGAAGGCGGCUUUCUGGGCCUUACCUGACGCUGAGACGCGAAAGCGUGGGGAGCGAACCGGAUUAGAUACCCGGGUAGUCCACGCCGUAAACUAUGGACACUAGGUGUGGGGGGUAUCGACCCCCUCCGUGCCGAAGCUAACGCAAUAAGUGUCCCGCCUGGGGAGUACGGCCGCAAGGCUA